UUUGAUCAUGGCUCAGGAUGAACGCUGGCUACAGGCUUAACACAUGCAAGUCGAGGGGAAAACGUACGGGGAAGCUUGCUUUCCCCGGGCGUCGACCGGCGCACGGGUGAGUAACGCGUAUCCAACCUGCCUCUGACUGAGGGAAUAACCCGUCGAAAAGUCGGCCUAAUACCUCAUGGCAUCGUCUGCGGGCAUCCAACGACGUAUUAAAGAUUUCAUCGGUCAGGGAUGGGGAUGCGUCUGAAUUAGCUUGUUGGCGGGGUAACGGCCCACCAAGGCUACGAUCAGUAGGGGUUCUGAGAGGAAGGUCCCCCACAUUUGGAACUGAGACACGGUCCAAACUCCUACGGGAGGCAGCAGUGAGGAAUAUUGGUCAAUGGGCGAGAGCCUGAACCAGCCAAGUAGCGUGCAGGAUGACGGCCCUAUGGGUUUGUAAACUGCUUUUUAUGCGGGGAUAAAGUGAGGGACGUGUCCUUUCAUUUGCAGGUACCGCAUGAAUAAGGACCGGCUAAUUCCGUGCCAGCAGCCGCGGUAAUACGGAAGGUCCGGGCGUUAUCCGGAUUUAUUGGGUUUAAAGGGAACGUAGGCCGUGGAUUAAGCGUGUUGUGAAAUGCAGGUGCUCAACGUCUGCACUGCAGCGCGAACUGGUCCACUUGAGUGUGCGCAACGCAGGCGGAAUUCGUCGUGUAGCGGUGAAAUGCUUAGAUAUGACGAAGAACUCCGAUUGCGAAGGCAGCUUGCGGGAGCACAACUGACGCUGAAGCUCGAAAGUGCGGGUAUCGAACAGGAUUAGAUACCCUGGUAGUCCGCACGGUAAACGAUGGAUGCCCGUUGUCAGGCUGUUUCAGCCUGGUGACCAAGCGAAAGCAUUAAGCAUCCCACCUGGGGAGUACGCCGGCAACGGUGAAACUCAAAGGAAUUGACGGGGGCCCGCACAAGCGGAGGAACAUGUGGUUUAAUUCGAUGAUACGCGAGGAACCUUACCCGGGCUUGAAUUGCAGACGAAGGCUUCAGAGAUGAAGCGGCCCUUCGGGGCGUCUGUGAAGGUGCUGCAUGGUUGUCGUCAGCUCGUGCCGUGAGGUGUCGGCUUAAGUGCCAUAACGAGCGCAACCCCUUUCUUCAGUUGCCAUCAGGUGAUGCUGGGCACUCUGGAGACACUGCCACCGCAAGGUGUGAGGAAGGUGGGGAUGACGUCAAAUCAGCACGGCCCUUACGUCCGGGGCUACACACGUGUUACAAUGGCCGGUACAGAGAGUUGAUUUUGUGCAAACACGAUCUAAUCCUUAAAUCCGGUCCCAGUUCGGACUGGGGUCUGCAACCCGACCCCACGAAGCUGGAUUCGCUAGUAAUCGCGCAUCAGCCAUGGCGCGGUGAAAUACGUUCCCGGGCCUUGCACACACCGCCCGUC
rnacentral:rRNA from 1 species